rnacentral:rRNA from 1 species
UACGGGGGGUGCGAGCGUUGUCCGGAAUCACUGGGCGUAAAGGGCGCGUAGGUGGUUUGAUAAGGGUGUGGUGAAAGUCCGGGGCUCAACCCCGGAUCUGCCGUGCCGACUGUCAAACUCGAGGACUGUAGAGGCAGACGGAAUUCCGGGUGUAGCGGUGGAAUGCGUGGAGAUCCGGAGGAAGACCGGUGGCGAAGGCGGUCUGCUGGGCAGUUUCUGACACUGAGGCGCGACAGCGUGGGGAGCAAACAGG